AUUUUUGCCCACAAAAACAAAAGCUGAGCUGCGACAGAGUGAUAACAGGAACGACAACAACCACGUAUCUGCACGGAGAUCACGGAUUUCUUUGUUUCAUCCAUAAAACUCCUCAUGUUUUUUAUUUAAAGUGAAACAUUUCUGUCUGUUUUUUUAUGUUAAUUUCUGAAGACGUCCCUCCUCUCCUGUUCCAGCAGAUCUCUCUGUGCUGAGAUGAUCGAGUCUUUGCAUGCAGCACGCUCAGGUUCAGUCAGUUCAUGAAGAUCAAGCCAACGGUUUAUAGAAAUGUCUCCACAUCAACAGGAGUAUAACUCCAAUGUCCCAGCAGUGAACCCUGAGGAACUCCAUCCUUCCCUGCUUUAGCUCCUUCUUGCCUUUUUCGUCAACAGUUCCUGAUUUCUGCGGUCAGAAACCUCCUUCACACAUCGAUUAUAUAACAAAUAAUAAUACUCCUAAGCCUCUAAAAUAACGUCUGUGCAAACUAACAUCAUCGUGUUGAGCAGAAUCACAUUCUAGUAUCUGUUUCCUGAUUAGGAAGCUCAGAUCUGUUGAAGGACGCUGGGAUGUUCUCAGGCUUCUGAAGAUGCAUCUGUGAAAGAAGCUCAGCAGACAUCCACAGACUAUUGUUCCCACAGCUCCCUUCAGUCUCAGCUGAAAGGGAUCUGAGCUCCAGCUGACAGUCUGGAUGAACAAGAAGCUGCACGUCUUUCCUGCACUGCUCCUCUCGGUCUGCAGAUGGCGCCAAAACCUCAUGCAUGUUCUUCAGCAGUGAUGAAGAUCUGAUUCUCAGCUUCCAUUUUUCAGACCAAAGCUGAUCUGAUCUUCAAUCUUCAACUGUUUUCCACCUUCAGAUCAGAUAUUUUAAAGGAGAAUAAUUUCUGAAGGUUUCUCCAUCUGUCAAUCAUUCGUGUCUCUUCAUGGUUCUGACCUCGAUCCGAAUCUGGACUCGUCUUUCUAGACUCAGAUCUCAUAUCAAUAUUCAUCGAGCUUCUGAUGGUUUAAUAAAGGACGAAGGAAAA